CAGCCGCCGCGGUAAUACGUAGGGUGCGAGCGUUAAUCGGAAUUACUGGGCGUAAAGCGUGCGCAGGCGGUGAUGUAAGACAGAUGUGAAAUCCCCGGGCUCAACCUGGGAACUGCAUUAGUGACUGCAUCGCUGGAGUGCGGCAGAGGGGGAUGGAAUUCCGCGUGUAGUAGUGAAAUGCGUAGAUAUGCGGAGGAACACCGAUGGCGAAGGCAAUCCCCUGGGCCUGCACUGACGCUCAUGCACGAAAGCGUGGGGAGCAAACAGGAUUAGAUACCCGCGUAGUCCCUGUCUCUUAUAC
rnacentral:rRNA from 1 species